rnacentral:rRNA from 1 species
UACAGAGGUCUCAAGCGUUGUUCGGAUUCAUUGGGCGUAAAGGGUGCGUAGGCGGCGCGGUAAGUCGGGUGUGAAAUCUCGGAGCUUAACUCCGAAACUGCAUUCGAUACUGCCGUGCUUGAGGACUGGAGAGGAGACUGGAAUUACGGUGUAGCAGUGAAAUGCGUAGAUAUCGUAAGGAAGACCAGUGGCGAAGGCGGGUCUCCUGGACAGUUCCUGACACUGAGGCACGAAGGCCAGGGGGAGCAAACGGG